AAUCCAUAGGUUAAUGAGGCGAACCGGGGGAACUGAAACAUCUAAGUACCCCGAGGAAAAGAAAUCAACCGAGAUUCCCCCAGUAGCGGCGAGCGAACGGGGAGGAGCCCAGAGCCUGAAUCAGCAUGUGUGUUAGUGGAAGCGUCUGGAAAGGCGCGCGAUACAGGGUGACAGCCCCGUACACAAAAGCGCAUGUGCUGUGAGCUCGAUGAGUAGGGCGGGACACGUGGUAUCCUGUCUGAAUAUGGGGGGACCAUCCUCCAAGGCUAAAUACUCCUGACUGACCGAUAGUGAACCAGUACCGUGAGGGAAAGGCGAAAAGAACCCCGGCGAGGGGAGUGAAAAAGAACCUGAAACCGUGUACGUACAAGCAGUGGGAGCACCCUUUGGGUGUGACUGCGUACCUUUUGUAUAAUGGGUCAGCGACUUAUAUUCUGUAGCAAGGUUAACCGAAUAGGGGAGCCGGAGGGAAACCGAGUCUUAAUUGGGCGUUAAGUUGCAGGGUAUAGACCCGAAACCCGGUGAUCUAGCCAUGGGCAGGUUGAAGGUUGGGUAACACUAACUGGAGGACCGAACCGACUAAUGUUGAAAAAUUAGCGGAUGACCUGUGGCUGGGGGUGAAAGGCCAAUCAAACCGGGAGAUAGCUGGUUCUCCCCGAAAGCUAUUUAGGUAGCGCCUCGUGAAUUCAUCUCCGGGGGUAGAGCACUGUUUCGGCUAGGGGGCCAUCCCGGCUUACCAACCCGAUGCAAACUGCGAAUACCGGAGAAUGUUAUCACGGGAGACACACGGCGGGUGCUAACGUCCGUCGUGAAGAGGGAAACAACCCAGACCGCCAGCUAAGGUCCCAAAGUCAUGGUUAAGUGGGAAACGAUGUGGGAAGGCCCAGACAGCCAGGAUGUUGGCUUAGAAGCAGCCAUCAUUUAAAGAAAGCGUAAUAGCUCACUGGUCGAGUCGGCCUGCGCGGAAGAUGUAACGGGGCUAAACCAUGCACCGAAGCUGCGGCAGCGACACUGUGUGUUGUUGGGUAGGGGAGCGUUCUGUAAGCCUGUGAAGGUGUGUCGUGAGGC
rnacentral:rRNA from 2 species